GUUCUCAUGAGGAGAACUUAUGCAGUACCCACUGCGUAGCGACUAGAACUCGCAUAUAACAUUAAGGAAAAACAAAUG
rnacentral:ncRNA from 1 species